rnacentral:lncRNA from 1 species
AUUAGUUGAACAACCAUUAGUAAUGCUAAGGAUGACCACCGUGUUAAAGUGAUGACAAUCUGCUUCUCAUUGGACAAUUGUGCUAGAAGCAUUAUCUCAUCAACCAUUAACCUAAUCAUUUCCAGAACUAAUAAUUUCAUUAGAGUUGCAGAAUGACCAAUGUCUAAUUCUGUUACUCCUACAUUAUAAUUGACAUUCUUCUGUAAAGAAGAGCCUUCCUUCAUCAACUGAAGCUAUUUGGGUAUUCUCAAAGGCAAAUUUUACAAAUUUUACAGGAAAGGAAAGAGAAAUGCUUAAUUUAUUUGUAUUUAGUUACCAGUUUUCUUUUUUUUUUUUUUUUUUUCCAAUUUGAGAGCAGGUACUGUUUAUUAACCAACCAGCUUAGAGAAAUAGUCAUGGUAGACACCUUAGUUCAUUCUUCUAAUAAGCCUGUUGAUCUGGUCCUCCCUGUUGCCAGCAUCUCCACCUUCUACAAAAUGGGUGGUCUUUUUCUUCAUUCCACCUCGUGGAGAAGACAAUUUGAAGGGCCACAGGAAGUUAUUUGCCUCUUUGAAGCGUUUUCCAACAGUAUAGAUCUCAUGAAUCAGAUCCUCCAUGCAGAUGAUGCCAUAUUUACCAAGAGAUCGAGCAAUCAAAGCGUUAUCUGUCAAAGCAAUUCGCUUCUUAUUGAUUUUGCCAUAACCACUCUUGUAGAUUAGUUCAUUUACUGACUUCAGAUUGGGGUACCCCCAUGCAAUAUAUGGCUCUACAAUCCUCAGCAUGUUAGUCGAAGCCUUGUUGAGCUUCACAAAGGUUCCAUUGUAGAUUUGACGAAGGCGAAGAAGCUGCAACACCUUUCGGACCUUUGGGCUCACGCCACUGAUACCUCUGAUUCUGAUGACAAAUGCCAGUUUGGGUUCUGCAGGUACAAAGUAGUUGCCAGCUUUUCUUGCCAUCCUCGCCAUUCGAAUUUCAGUUCUGUACAUCUGCCUAUAUUCCCUGUGAUAGUGCUUUGCUUUUUCAUAGAUAAGCUUCCUCCUUGCCUUUCGAAGCAUCUUUUGGGCAAACUUCUUUCUCAGGCGCUUCAUCUUCAGCUCUGAGAAAUUCCUUCGCUUUUUCUUAAGGGUUUCUGGCACAGCAGGAACCUUCUUCUUCUCUUCUACACCCACCAUGGUUCCAGC